rnacentral:lncRNA from 1 species
GUGGGAGCGAUUGAGGGCUGAAUUAUCUCAUCCAGUUUGAAAUGUCCAAUGAUCCGAUAAUUUUGGGAUCGUGAAAUCUCACAGUUAACAAUCUAGCUAUCCAACAUCCUUCUAUAUAAACAAUCAGAACACCGAGGAUCCAGAUAAGUUAAAUCAAAUCUCUCUCAAAGAAUCCGUUGCGGCUCCUUUAUUCUCUAUUUUUCUGACUUAAGCAUCGGAAGGUCCUCACUGGAGUUACAACCUCCAAUUUUUUGAUUUGAGCAUCGGAGUAUCCUUGUCGGAGCCAC